rnacentral:snoRNA from 1 species
GCCAAUGAUGAAAUCAUGGAGACUUUCUGAAAUGCAGUUCUUUUGGUUUCUGCAUGAAUAUGUUGAAACUCAUGAACUAGGACGGUCUGAGGC